rnacentral:rRNA from 1 species
GACCUAUCAGCUUUCGACGGUAGUGUAUUGGACUACCGUGGCAGUGACGGGUAACGGGGAAUUAGGGUUCGAUUCCGGAGAGGGAGCCUGAGAAACGGCUACCACAUCUAAGGAAGGCAGCAGGCGCGCAAAUUACCCAAUCCUGACUCAGGGAGGUAGUGACAAGAAAUAACAACACUGGAAAUUUUAUUUCUAGUGAUUGGAAUGAUGGGAAUUUAAACCCCUUUCAGAGUAACAAUUGGAGGGCAAGUCUGGUGCCAGCAGCCGCGGUAAUUCCAGCUCCAAUAGCGUAUAUUAAAGUUGCUGCAGUUAAAAAGCUCGUAGUUGGAUAUCUGCUGGAAGCAAUCAGUCCGCCCUAUUUGUAGGGUGUGCACUUGAUGAAUUCUGGCAUCUAUGUCCCGAUAAUAUAACGUGGAGGUCGUCCUCCCGUUUAUUGGGAACAUACUGUUACUUUGAGAAAAUUAGAGUGUUUGAAGCAGGCUAAUUGCCUUGAAUACUGCAGC